UACGUAGGGUGCGAGCGUUGUCCGGAAUUAUUGGGCGUAAAGAGCUCGUAGGCGGUUUGUCACGUCUGCUGUGAAAUCCCGAGGCUCAACCUCGGGCCUGCAGUGGGUACGGGCAGACUGGAGUGCGGUAGGGGAGAAUGGAAUUCCUGGUGUAGCGGUGGAAUGCGCAGAUAUCAGGAGGAACACCGAUGCGAAGGCAGUUCUCUGGGCCGUAACUGACGCUGAGGAGCGAAAGCGUGGGGGAGCAAACAGG
rnacentral:rRNA from 1 species